rnacentral:rRNA from 1 species
CAGUAGCCGCGGGAAUACAGAGGGUGCGAGCGUUAAUCGGAUUUACUGGGCGUAAAGCGUGCGUAGGCGGCUUCUUAAGUCGGAUGUGAAAUCCCUGAGCUUAACUUAGGAAUUGCAUUCGAUACUGGGAAGCUAGAGUAUGGGAGAGGAUGGUAGAAUUCCAGGUGUAGCGGUGAAAUGCGUAGAGAUCUGGAGGAAUACCGAUGGCGAAGGCAGCCAUCUGGCCUAAUACUGACGCUGAGGUACGAAAGCAUGGGGAGCAAACAGGACUAGAUACCCCGGUAGUCCCUGUCUCUUAUAA